AUUGAACGCUGGCGGCAUGCCUUACACAUGCAAGUCGAACGGUAACAGGUCUUCGAAUGCUGACGAGUGGCGAACGGGUGAGUAAUACAUCGGAACGUGCCCGAGAGUGGGGGAUAACGAGGCGAAAGCUUUGCUAAUACCGCAUACGAUCUCAGGAUGAAAGCAGGGGACCGCAAGGCCUUGCGCUCACGGAGCGGCCGAUGGCAGAUUAGGUAGUUGGUGGGAUAAAAGCUUACCAAGCCGACGAUCUGUAGCUGGUCUGAGAGGACGACCAGCCACACUGGGACUGAGACACGGCCCAGACUCCUACGGGAGGCAGCAGUGGGGAAUUUUGGACAAUGGGCGCAAGCCUGAUCCAGCCAUGCCGCGUGCAGGAUGAAGGCCUUCGGGUUGUAAACUGCUUUUGUACGGAACGAAACGGCUCCUUCUAAUAAAGGGGGCUAAUGACGGUACCGUAAGAAUAAGCACCGGCUAACUACGUGCCAGCCGCCGCCGUAAAAC
rnacentral:rRNA from 1 species